AAAAUAUUACGUAAAAAAUGGGAUUCCAGGUACAUGUACAUUAUAGGGUCGGGUGGUAACUUGUUUCGAGUGAAGAGCGCCACCGGAAAUUACAUAUUAUUGCGCACCAGGCAGUUCAUUGACAAGUGAUGCAUAGCCAUGGCUUUCUCAAAGAAUACCGGAUCGUUUUGUUUCAAAGAAAACAUGUCGUUUUCAAACGUGAUUGAGAAUCAUUUCCUGGGUACGAAAUAUGUCAAGAAAAAAAACUCUAGCACGACUGUACAACAGUCCCAACACUAUUCUAAGACAUCAUCACUCUGGGGUCUGAUCACCAAGGAGACAUUCACCCGCACACCCGUGGAAGGUGAACAUGAUAGUGAUAGUGAUUCCGAGGAGGAAGACAUAAAACCUUCGUCUACAGGCGUACUGUACAAACAGUCAAUGCAAUUGUGCUACAGUAGAUCCUUCGUACAAAAUUGAACUGUAUAUCUACACUGGCAUUCUUUACAUGAAAAACUUUCAUAAAAUACAGUGACUAUAUCUUGUAAUGACAAUAUUAACAAAUGUCUACCAAUAUCUACUACAAAGCCAGAAAUCAA